UGGAGACUGUGCUUGGCACUCUUGGGGAAUCGUGGGGCAGCUGCUCCAAGGAGGAGAGCUGCAAAGGGAGGUCUUGGCACCCUCCCUGGCAAGAGGAGCGGGCUGGAGCAACUAUGGAGGGAUCUCCCUGGAAUUGGAUCAUCUGAGAAGCUCUGCUAUAGAAUGCGUCAUCCUGCCCAGCACACAGGAGGCUCUCAGGCUAUGUUUGUUGAAUAAAUGAACAAUGGAAAGUCACAAUUUCUGCUCACCUUCGAACCAGGUGCAGCCUUGGGAUCUGCAUUCCUAAGAAGAGACACUGGACCUCAGGCUCUGACCCCAGAGCAGGAGGGCAGUGGCUGUCCCUGACCCCCUGAUCUCUGAGCUCAGGGGAGGACAGUGAGCCCGUCCAACUUCGUGAG
rnacentral:lncRNA from 1 species